rnacentral:rRNA from 1 species
UGGGGAAUUUUGGGCAAUGGCCGAAAGGCUGACCCAGCAACGCCGCGUGAAGGAUGAAAUCCUUCGGGAUGUAAACUUCGUAAAUAAGGGAAGAAUAAACUAGUUCUAACACAGCUAGAUAUGACGGUACCUUAUGUAAGCCCCGGCUAACUCCGUGCCAGCAGCCGCGGUAAUACGGGGGGGGCAAGCGUUGUUCGGAAUUACUGGGCGUAAAGGGCGCGUAGGCGGUCUGGCCAAGUCGAGUGUGAAAUUCCAGGGCUUAACUCUGGCGGGUCGCUCGAUACUGGUCGGCUAGAGUGUGGAAGAGGAUGCUGGAAUUCUCGGUGUAGCGGUGAAAUGCGUAGAUAUCGGGAGGAACACCAGCGGCGAAGGCGGGCAUCUGGGCCAACACUGACGCUGAGGCGCGAAAGCUAGGGGAGCAAACAGGAUUAGAUACCCCUGUAGUCC